rnacentral:rRNA from 1 species
UACGAAGGGGGCUAGCGUUGCUCGGAAUUACUGGGCGUAAAGGGAGCGUAGGCGGAUAGUUUAGUCAGAGGUGAAAGCCCAGGGCUCAACCCUGGAAUUGCCUUUGAUACUGGCUAUCUUGAGUAUGGGAGAGGUUAGCGGAACUCCGAGUGUAGAGGUGAAAUUCGUAGAUAUUCGGAAGAACACCAGUGGCGAAGGCGGCUAACUGGCCCAUUACUGGACGCUGAGGCUCGAAAGCGUGGGGAGCGAACAGG